AAAUAUCUGUCUCAAGAUUAGCCAUGCAUGUCUAGUAUAGCAUAUACGUGAAACUGCGAUGGCUCAUUAAAUCAGUAUCGUUUAUUUGAUAGUACCUUACCACUUGGAUAACCCGUGGUAAUUCUAGAGCUAAUACAUGCUAAAAACCCCGACUUCGGAAGGGGUGUGUUUAUUAGAUAAAAAACCAAUGCCUUUCGGGGCUCUUUGGUGAUUCAUGAUAACCUAACGGAUCGCAUGGCCUUGCGCCGGCGACGGUUCAUUCAAAUUUCUGCCCUAUCAACUUUCGAUGGUAAGGUAUUGGCUUACCAUGGUUUCAACGGGUAACGGGGAAUUAGGGUUCGAUUCCGGAGAGGGAGCCUGAGAAACGGCUACCACAUCCAAGGAAGGCAGCAGGCGCGCAAAUUACCCAAUCCCGACACGGGGAGGUAGUGACAAUAAAUACUGAUACAGGGCUCUUUUGGGUCUUGUAAUUGGAAUGAGUACAAUUUAAACCCCUUAACGAGGAACAAUUGGAGGGCAAGUCUGGUGCCAGCAGCCGCGGUAAUUCCAGCUCCAAUAGCGUAUAUUAAAGUUGUUGCAGUUAAAAAGCUCGUAGUUGAAACUUGGGUCUGGCUAGCGGGUCCGCCUCACCGCGUGCACUUGUCCGGCUGGACCUUUCCUUCUGGAGAACCUCAUGCCCUUCACUGGGUGUGUUGGGGAACCAGGACUUUUACUUUGAAAAAAUUAGAGUGUUCAAAGCAGGCCUUUGCUCGAAUACGUUAGCAUGGAAUAAUAGAAUAGGACGUGCGGUCCUAUUUUGUUGGUUUCUAGGAUCGCCGUAAUGAUUAAUAGGGAUAGUCGGGGGCAUCAGUAUUCAAUUGUCAGAGGUGAAAUUCUUGGAUUUAUUGAAGACUAACUACUGCGAAAGCAUUUGCCAAGGAUGUUUUCAUUAAUCAGUGAACGAAAGUUAGGGGAUCGAAGACGAUCAGAUACCGUCGUAGUCUUAACCGUAAACUAUGCCGACUAGGGAUCGGGCGAUGUUUCUAUCUUGACUCGCUCGGCACCUUACGAG
rnacentral:rRNA from 1 species